UUAUUGGGCAAUAAGUCCGUGUUUAGUAUACAGUAUACUAACAAUCAUAAUUAUUAGUCAAUAAGUCAGGGUUUAGUAUACAGUAUACUAACUACCAUAAUUAUAGGUCAAUAAGUCUGUGUUUAGUAUACAGUAUACUAACUACCAUAAUUAUAGGUCAAUAAGUCUGUGUUUAGUAUACAGUAUACUAACUACCAUAAUUAUAGGUCAAUAAGUCUGUGUUUAGUAUACAGUAUACUAACUACCAUAAUUAUAGGUCAAUAAGUCUGUGUUUAGUAUAAUAUAGUAUACUAACUAUCAUAAUUAUUGGUCAAUAAGUCCGUGUUUAGUAUACAGUAUACUAACUAUCAUAAUUAUUAGUCAAUAAGUCAGGGUUUAGUAUACAGUAUACUAACUAUCAUAAUUAUUGGUCAAUAAGUCUGUGUUUAGUAUAAUACAGUAUACUAACUAUCAUAAUUAUUGGUCAAUUAGUCCGUGUUUACUAUACAGUAUACUAACUAUCAUAAUUAUUAGUCAAUAAGUCAGGGUUUAGUAUACAGUAUACUAACUACCAUAAUUAUAGGUCAAUAAGUCUGUGUUUAGUAUAAUAUAGUAUACUAACUAUCAUAAUUAUUGGUCAAUAAGUCCGUGUUUAGUAUACAGUAUACUAACUAUCAUAAUUAUUAGUCAAUAAGUCAGGGUUUAGUAUACAGUAUACUAACUACCAUAAUUAUAGGUCAAUAAGUCAGGGUUUAGUAUACAGUAUACUAACUACCAUAAUUAUUGGGCAAUAAGUCCGUGUUUAGUAUACAGUAUACUAACUAUCAUAAUUAUUGGUCAAUAAGUCCGUGUUUAGUAUACAGUAUACUAACAAUCAUAAUUAUUGGUCAAUAAGUCAGGGUUUAGUAUACAGUAUACUAACUACCAUAAUUAUUAGUCAAUAAGUCUGUGUUUAGUAUACAAUAUACUAACUAUCAUAAUUAUUGGUCAAUAAGUCUGUGUUUAGUAUACAGUAUACUUACUACCAUAAUUAUUAGUCAAUAAGUCUGUUUAGUAUAAUACAGUAUACUAACUAUCAUAAUUAUUGGUCAAUAAGUCCGUGUUUAGUAUACAGUAUACUAACUAUCAUAGUUAUUGGUCAAUAAGUCUGCUUAUUAUAAACUAUACUAAAAAAAUGCUGUAAUCAUUGGGCACUAUUUAUAAGCCUGUGCGUGAUAAUAGAUCCAUCUAUAUAUCUUAUGCUUUUUAGAAAAAUAACCAAUACAUGCCAUUGUCCUAUAAUUAGCCCAUCCCCUAAGUGAGAGGUGAUGUGUUGGAACUAUGGCUUAUUAUGGGAUACAUAUAGUGUUUUCAUGGUAAAGAUGAAGUUAUCCAUUGGCAGUCACAGACUUUACAGAUAAAUUGUAAAUAUUCAAUGGAUUUUAUUUUCUUAUAUUUACAUUUACACUGCAGCCCCACUAUAUAACUUUACCAAGCUCAUUAAUAAAUUCAACAUGAAGCGCUAGCGCGCUUCAUUAAAUUUGCCUUUGUCCAGUUGGCAUUCAUCAGCCCAUAACUUCCAAAUGAAAGCAGUUCAAUGCUUAAAUAAUACCGUUUGAAAGGUGGAUUGUGGCAUUGAAAUACAUUGUAUCUAUAAAUAUUCAUUCCCUAUGUCUUGAUAUGAUUUCAAAUUUGUUACAAAAAUGAUCAUGAUAAAAAUAUGUUUUAUUUCAUACUAAAGAAAUAGUGUUAAGAAAAUUUCAUUGUUGAGAAAUUUAUUUAAACCAAGGUUAAAAUGAUUAUAACUGAACAAAUCAUUGUUAGAAAAUUUUAUCAGGCAUUAUAUUUAAAUAUAUAUACACGUAUAUAUAUCAUAAAGAUAAGACAAUUCUCCUCAACAAAAUUAAAAGUGUCUACAAUGAUAUGUAAAUACUAAGAUCAGUGCAAAACAAUAUCAUUAGAAUUUUGAUGGUCCUUUCAGAAAGCAUAUAUUACUGCAGAACACUGCACAAACAUCAACUGACCAGGGUUAAUCAGUGUUUUAAACCCUGUAGCAUUUCUUAUGUUAUAAGCUUGUGUAUCGCCAUAACUUAAACCCAUUUCAAUGUUUUUACCUGGCAAACGGAUUACAAUCAAACCUCAUUUUCUCAAUAACAUGGAACUCCUAUAGAUAUCCCGAUUAUUCCAGGUAACCAAAUAUAUUUAUACACUAGAAUUUUACUUUCUGAACUGCCCAUUUGCGCCAAUUUAAUACAAAUACAGUAAAACUCAUUUAUAACCACUCCAAGGGACCUUGCUAUUGAAUUCGUUAUACAAGUAUAAAUAAAAGGAACGGUAAUAAAAGUUGAUAAACAAAUCAUUAUACGUGUUAAGCAUACUGUUACUAUCGAAUUUGUAAGACUAGUACUGUUAAAACAAACAGGUUAACAAACAAGUAAAAGUAACGUUCCUUUAAUUACAGAAAAAAAAGAAGUUUUCAAUUGUUUCCAUGAGACAUAUAUACAACCCGACACUGUUUAGUACCCCUUCAAUUUAUUUCAUUAUACAUGUAAAACAUGUACCUUUGUAUGUGAGCUUACAUGUAAACACACAAAUAAAUACCCUUGGGGAGCCCCGGCAAGCUGACCGUGACAUUCGACGGGUGUGUAAACAAAUCCUGUACAGGCAAGUCUACGGGUGAUUGGCGAUUCGUUAUGUGAGUGCUUAUUUACUGAGAGAGAGAGAUGAAGCAACCCACGAAUUAGUUCAUUAUGAACAAAAAGUCGUUAUAUAGAUUUCGCUAUACAAGUGGUUACAUUACUAAUAUUAUAUAGUGCUACAGUCGGGGAUUAACUUCUAUUUCAUUAUACGUGAAAAUUCGUCCUAACCGAGUUCAUUGUAUUCGAGUUUUACUGUAUAGGUAUAUAUAUGGUAUAUACAGUAUAAAGAAAAAAGUCAAAAUCAACACGAUAAUUUGAUAACGCUAAUGUUUUCAGACUUUCAGGCAAAUGUUUAUUUACUAGGUAACAUAACAUUAUGACGUUAUCAGACGAAUGUUUAUUUACUAGGUAACGUAACAUGACGUUAUCAGGCGAAUGUUUAUUUACCAGGUAAUGUAACAUGACGUUAUCAGGCGAAUGUUGAUUUACUAGGUAACGUAACAUGACGUUAUCAGACGAAUGUUUAUUUUCUAGGUAACGUAACAUUAUGACGUUAUCAGGCGAAUGUUUAUUUUCUAGGUAACAUAACAUUAUGACGUUAUCAGGCGAAUGUUUAUUUACUAGGUAACGUAACAUGACGUUAUCAGGCGAAUGUUUAUUUACUAGGUAACGUAACAUGACGUUAUCAUGCGAAUGUUUAUUUACUAGGUAACGUAACAUUAUGACGUUAUCAGGCGAAUGAUUAUUUACUAGGUAACGUAACAUUAUGACGUUAUCAGACGAAUGUUUAUCUACAAGGUAACGUUACAUGACGUUAUCAAGCGAAUGUUGAUUUACUAGGUAACGUAACAUGACGUUAUCAGGCGAAUGUUUAUUUUCUAGGUAACGUAACAUGACGUUAUCACAAGGUAACGUAACAUGACGUUAUCACAAGGUAACGUAACAUGACGUUAUCACAAGGUAACGUAACAUGACGUUAUCGACAAUGACCACAGAGGAGAUAAUACGUACUUCUAAGUUACCAUAUAUAUGGUACCAUUUAAUGAAGAAUUGAGCUGUGGAUGCAUUAACUACAUAAUGCAUUGCAUUUUUUGUGGACGCUUUAAAACUUUCCUUAGAACCACUUAGAAUGAAUUUCUACAAAUGUUCCACAGUGAUAUGCUAAAUAGAUAUAUAUUUGAUCGUCUACAUUUUUUAAAAAUUUUUCCCGUGACAAAUAAUGGCAACUUCCUUCUUACUAUUGUACAGAACAUUUCUCCUAGCUCAGACUGUCUGGCAUUUCAAAAGCAGAUUCCCUGGGUUUUAUCCUCAGUAGAGGCUUUUAAAUAUGAUGUCAUCUAUCAGCUGUUUACAGCAGCGUUCCCUGCUGGGGGCAUUCUCAGAUAAUAGCCCCUGUUUAGUGUUGUGAUAUACACAUACAUUGUACAGUGUAUGAAAUGGUUAAAAUAAAUUUUUUGAGAUUUGGGGAUUUGGCAUUAUUGUAAAGGGGUGGGAGGUACUUGUAUUAAAAUUUGAUGGAUGGUAAGGUCCCCGAAUAAAAUAUCUCCCACCCCUCCCACUAGGAUAACUUUGGAACAGCCCUUUGUCGGAACAAUAAAAUAUUAUUAUAUGAAUGUCAUCAUGAAAUAAAGGAGAUAUUUUGAA